UACGUAGGGGGCUAGCGUUGUCCGGAUUUAUUGGGCGUAAAGAGCGUGUAGGCGGCUAGAUAGGUCCGUUGUGAAAACUCGAGGCUCAACCUCGAGACGUCGAUGGAAACCAUCUGGCUAGAGUCCGGAAGAGGAGAGUGGAAUUCCUGGUGUAGCGGUGAAAUGCGCAGAUAUCAGGAAGAACACCCGUGGCGAAGGCGGCUCUCUGGUACGUGACUGACGCUGAGACGCGAAAAGCGUGGGGAGCAAACAGG
rnacentral:rRNA from 1 species